UCGAGAAUUUUUCACAAUGGGCGAAAGCCUGAUGGAGCGACGCCGCGUGGGGGAUGAAUGGCUUCGGCCCGUAAACCCCUGUCAUUCGCGAGCAAACGUUAUUAUUUAAAAGAUGAUAGCCUGAUAGUAGCGAAAGAGGAAGGGACGGCUAACUCUGUGCCAGCAGCCGCGGUAAUACAGAGGUCCCAAGCGUUGUUCGGAUUUACUGGGCGUAAAGGGUGCGUAGGUGGUGGGGUAAGUCGGAUGUGAAAUCUCCGAGCUCAACUCGGAAAGUUGAUUGGAAACUACCCUGCUCGAGGGUUGGAGGGGGGACUGGAAUACUUGGUGUAGCAGUGAAAUGCGUAGAUAUCAAGUGGAACACCAGUGGCGAAGGCGAGUCCCUGGGCAACUCCUGACACUGAGGCACGAAAGCUAGGGGAG
rnacentral:rRNA from 1 species